CCUACGGGGGGCAGCAGUGAGGAAUAUUGGUCAAUGGACGAGAGUCUGAACCAGCCAAGUAGCGUGAAGGAUGACUGCCCUAUGGGUUGUAAACUUCUUUUAUAUGGGAAUAAAAUGUUCCACGUGUGGGAUUUUGUAUGUACCAUAUGAAUAAGGAUCGGCUAACUCCGUGCCAGCAGCCGCGGUAAUACGGAGGAUCCGAGUGUUAUCCGGAUUUAUUGGGUUUAAAGGGAGCGUAGGUGGAUUGUUAAGUCAGUUGUGAAAGUUUGCGGCUCAACCGUAAAAUUGCAGUUGAAACUGGCAGUCUUGAGUACAGUAGAGGUGGGCGGAAGUCGUGGUGUAGCGGUGAAAUGCUUAGAUAUCACGAAGAACUCCGAUUGCGAAGGCAGUUCACUGGACUGCAACUGACACUGAGGCUCGAAAGUGUGGGUAUCAAACAGGAUUAGAUACCCGGGUAGUC
rnacentral:rRNA from 1 species